AUGAAUAUGAUCCCGGGCGUAGUUGAAAACGGCAUUGUUUCCGGUAUCGCACCGUCCGUGCUGGUUGCCCUGCAAGAUGGAGAUGAUGUAACGGUGAUGGAUCUGUCGGAAUUUGUAAAGGUUGUCAUCAACUAGACAGGUGUGACUCAUAAGGAUCUGUUGGAAUUUGUAGAAAUUAUCAACAGCUAGACAGAUGUGACUUUUAGUUAGAUUUCUCAUUGUAGAUUGGGCUUGCUAGUUAGACUGAGGAGAUUUGUACUUAGUAGAUUGAGAUUUCUUAGAUAUGGAAUUUUGUAACUCUUGAGAUUGAGCAGGAUAAAAACGCCCAGUAAUACAUGGUGCAGUGAGAGUACUUUUGGCCC